CAAAAUGAGCGAGGGGGACUCAGGGGCACACACCCCUCGGAGCAACGUGACGAAGAUGCGAGGAUGUGACGUGCAGCACAGAUGUCACAGCAACGCUCUCUACCAACUUUGCAUGGAGUAUGCUCUAUAAGAGUGUCAUCACUGUGGUCGACACCGGAAGCUAAUUCAAUACCGGUGCACGUGAGUGUCGCCAGUACGACCACCUGUUUUACGACAACUGCUUCUUCAAAGCUGGCGGUAGAGACAGAGUCACUAGCGAG
ensembl:lncRNA